rnacentral:rRNA from 1 species
AGUGAACGCUGGCGGUAGGCCUAACACAUGCGAGUCGAACGGCAGCACAGUAAGAGCUUGCUCUUACGGGUGGCGAGUGGCGGACGGGUGAGGAAUACAUCGGAAUCUACUUUUUCGUGGGGGAUAACGUAGGGAAACUUACGCUAAUACCGCAUACGACCUACGGGUGAAAGCAGGGGAUCUUCGGACCUUGCGCGAUUGAAUGAGCCGAUGUCGGAUUAGCUAGUUGGCGGGGUAAAGGCCCACCAAGGCGACGAUCCGUAGCUGGUCUGAGAGGAUGAUCAGCCACACUGGAACUGAGACACGGUCCAGACUCCUACGGGAGGCAGCAGUGGGGAAUAUUGGACAAUGGGCGCAAGCCUGAUCCAGCCAUACCGCGUGAGUGAAGAAGGCCUUCGGGUUGUAAAGCCCUUUUGUUGGGAAAGAAAAUCAGCAGGUUAAUACCCCGCUGUUCUGACGGUACCCAAAGAAUAAGCACCGGCUAACUUCGUG